GAUGAAGAACGUAGCGAAAUGCGAUAAGUAAUGCGAAUUGCAGAAUUUCCGUGAAUCAUCGAAUCUUUGAACGCACAUUGCGCCCCUUGGUAUUCCAUGGGGCAUGCCUGUUCGAGCGUCAUUUGUACCCUCAAGCUCUGCUUGGUGUUGGGUGUUUGUCCACCAUCGUGGACUCGCCUUAAAGUCAUUGGCAGCCAGUGUUUUGGUAUUGAAGCGCAGCACAUUUUGCGCCUCUAGUCUAGAACACUAGCGUCCAGUAAGCCUUUUUCCACUUUUGACCUCGGAUCAGGUAGGGAUACCCGCUGAACUUAAGCAUAUCAAUAAGCGGAGGA
rnacentral:misc_RNA from 1 species